GGUGGCUUAGUGGUAGAGUGCUUGCCUAGCAUGCAUGAAGCCCUGGGUUCAAUUCCCCAGUACCA
rnacentral:tRNA from 1 species